rnacentral:rRNA from 1 species
CCUACGGGAGGCAGCAGUGAGGAAUAUUGGUCAAUGGGCGGAAGCCUGAACCAGCCAAGUCGCGUGAGGGAUUAAGGCCCUGCGGGUCGUAAACCUCUUUUGCCGGGGAGCAGAGGUCCGGACGUGUCCGGGCCGGGAGAGUACCAGGAGAAAAAGCAUCGGCUAAAUCAGUGCCAGCAGCCGCGGUAAUACGGGGGAUGCGAGCGUUAACCGGAUUUAUUGGGUUCAAAGGGUGCGUAGGCGGGCAUUUAAGCCGGCGGUCAAAUGUCGGGGCUCAACCCCGGCCUGCCGUCGGAACUGGGUGCCUUGAGUGGGCGAGAAGUAUGCGGAAUGCGUGGUGUAGCGGUGAAAUGCAUAGAUAUCACGCAGAACCCCGAUUGCGAAGGCAGCAUACCGGCGCCCUACUGACGCUGAGGCACGAAAGUGUGGGUAUCGAACAGGAUUAGAUACCCUAGUAGUC